rnacentral:rRNA from 1 species
GGAAUAUUGGGCAAUGGACGCAAGUCUGACCCAGCCAUGCCGCGUGCAGGAUGAAGGCGUUAUGCGUUGUAAACUGCUUUUAUACAGGAAGAAACGACUCUUGCGAGAGGCAUUGACGGUACUGUAUGAAUAAGCACCGGCUAACUCCGUGCCAGCAGCCGCGGUAAUACGGAGGGUGCAAGCGUUGUCCGGAUUUAUUGGGUUUAAAGGGUGCGCAGGUGGUUUAUUAAGUCAGUGGUGAAAGACGGUUGCUCAACGAUUGCAGUGCCAUUGAAACUGGUAGACUUGAGUAAAGUAGAGGUGGGCGGAAUUGAUAGUGUAGCGGUGAAAUGCAUAGAUAUUAUCAAGAACUCCAAUUGCGUAGGCAGCUCACUUGGCUUUUACUGACACUCAUGCACGAAAGUGUGGGUAUCAAACAGGAUUAGAUACCCUGGUAGUCCACACUGUAAACGAUGAUAACUAGGUGUCGGCCGAAUCUGGUCGGUGCCACAGCGAAAGCGUUAAGUUAUCCACCUGGGGAGUACGCCGGCAACGGUGAAACUCAAAGGAAUUGACGG